rnacentral:rRNA from 1 species
GACGAACCGUGCGAACGUUGUUCGGAAUCACUGGGCUUAAAGGGCGCGUAGGCGGCUUGCCAAGUCGCGGGUGAAAUCUUUCGGCCUAACCGGAAAAGGGCCCGCGAUACUGGCCGGCUCGAGCGAGGUAGGGCAGGGGAACUUCCGGUGGAGCGGUGAAAUGCGUUGAUAUCGGAAGGAAACGCCCGGGUGGCGAAAGCGCCCUGCUGGACCUCACC